rnacentral:tRNA from 1 species
GCCGGUGUGUUGGAAUUGGCAGACGAGACGGUCUCAAAAUCCGUUGUCCGCAAGGACGUGUGGGUUCGACCCCCACCACCGGCACCA